rnacentral:rRNA from 1 species
UACAGAGGUCCCAAGCGUUGUUCGGAUUCACUGGGCGUAAAGGGUGCGUAGGUGGUGGGGUAAGUCGGAUGUGAAAUCUCCAAGCUCAACUUGGAAAUGGCAUUGGAAACUGCCCUGCUAGAGGAUCGGAGGGGGGACUGGAAUACUUGGUGUAGCAGUGAAAUGCGUAGAUAUCAAGUGGAACACCAGUGGCGAAGGCGAGUCCCUGGACGAUACCUGACACUGAGGCACGAAAGCUAGGGGAGCAAACAGG